rnacentral:rRNA from 1 species
UUAAAUUGAAGAGUUUGAUCAUGGCUCAGAUUGAACGCUGGCGGCAGGCCUAACACAUGCAAGUCGAACGGUAACAGGAAGAAGCUUGCUUCUUUGCUGACGAGUGGCGGACGGGUGAGUAAUGUCUGGGAAACUGCCUGAUGGAGG